CCUACGGGAGGCAGCAGUGGGGAAUAUUGGGCAAUGGAGGAAACUCUGACCCAGCGACGCCGCGUGCGGGAUGAAGGCCUUCGGGUUGUAAACCGCUUUCAGCAGGGAAGAAGCGAAAGUGACGGUACCUGCAGAAGAAGCACCGGCUAACUAUGUGCCAGCAGCCGCGGUAAUACAUAGGGUGCAAGCGUUGUCCGGAAUUAUUGGGCGUAAAGAGCUCGUAGGUGGUUCGUCACGUCGGAUGUGAAAAUCUGGGGCUUAACCCCAGACCUGCAUUCGAUACGGGCGAGCUUGAGUAUGGUAGGGGAGUCUGGAAUUCCUGGUGUAGCGGUGGAAUGCGCAGAUAUCAGGAGGAACACCAAUGGCGAAGGCAGGACUCUGGGCCAUUACUGACACUGAGGAGCGAAAGCGUGGGGAGCGAACAGGAUUAGAUACCCUGGUAGUCCACGCCGUAAACGGUGGGCACUAGUUGUGGGGACCUUCCACGGUCUCUGCGACGCAGCUAACGCAUUAAGUGCCCCGCCUGGGGAGUACGAUCGCAAGAUUAAAACUCAAAGGAAAUUGACGG
rnacentral:rRNA from 1 species